rnacentral:RNase_P_RNA from 1 species
AAAGUAAGACGUCCUAUCGCAUUAAAAAAAAUGAGGAAAGUCCGGGCACCAUAGAGCAGUACAAUGGAUAAUCCCCAUCCACCGUAAGGUGAGGAAUAGUGCAACAGAAAGAAAGUACAGAUAAUAUUGCUGUAGUGAAAUCAUGUAAACUCUGUACGGUGAAAUGCCAUAUAUACCGGAAAACUGACUCGGUUGAUACCGGGGGGUAGGCAGAUAGAGAUAGUGGGUAACCAGUAUCCUAGAUAAAUGAUAGGUAUAAAAACAGAAUCCGGCUUAUAGUCUUACUUUUAUU